rnacentral:tRNA from 1 species
GUCAGUUUGGCCGAGUGGUCUAAGGCGUCAGACUCAAGUUCUGGUGGACAAAUCCGCGGGGGUUCGAACCCCACUGCUGACA